rfam:Lasallia pustulata genome assembly, contig: scaffold1179_size14819
AGAGAAUUGGCUGAGCGGUUUAAAGCGGUAAGCUUGAAACUUAUUUGAUUUACACAAUCACAUCCGUUCAAAUCGGAUAUUCUCUG